GGCCCCAUCGUCUAGUGGUUAGGACAUAGCGUUCUCAACGCUGGAACUCGGGUUCGAUUCCCGGUGGGGCUA
rnacentral:tRNA from 1 species